CCUACGGGAGGCAGCAGUGGGGAAUAUUGCACAAUGGGCGAAAGCCUGAUGCAGCAACGCCGCGUGAAGGAAGAAGGGUCUCGGCUCGUUAACUUCUAUCAACCGGGACGAAAGAAAUGACAGUACCUGAAUAAGAAGCCCCGGCUAACUACGUGCCAGCAGCCGCGGUAAUACGUAGGGGACAAGCGUUAUCCGGAAUUACUGGGUGUACAGGGUUAGUAGGCGGCAUGGUAAUCCAGAUGUGAAAGCCUUGGGUCUAACCCGAGGAUUGCAUUUGGAACUGCCAAGCUAGAGGACAGGAGAGGAAUGCGGAAUUCGCGGUGUAGCGGUGAAAUGCAUAGAUAUUAGGAAGAACUCCAAUUGCGAAGGCAGCAUUCUGGACCGAAACUGACGCUGAGGCACGAAAGCGUGGGGAUCGAACAGGAUUAGAUACCCGAGUAGUC
rnacentral:rRNA from 1 species